rfam:Nannochloropsis gaditana strain B-31 chromosome 16, whole genome shotgun sequence.
AUACUUACCUGACCGGGGUCUGGCGGUGGUCACGAGGGCCGCUAGCCUUCGGGGGAGCAGGCCAUUGCACUCGCUUCGGCGUCUGGUGCUGUAAGCCCGAAAGGACGGGGCUCCGCCCCGAUCCUACGGUACAAUUUUUCGACUGGGGCGAUGCGCUUGCGCUCGCCCCCA